UCGGGAACUAUGGGCAUGAACUGGUCUAGGUCAAGAAGAGGAUAGAAAAGAUAGGUGGAUGAAUAAAAAGAGUGCAAGAUCUGAAUCAGAUAACAAGUGGAAGAGGGGUCAACACUAGACCAUGCAUGCCUAAAGGAAUCACAGGAGCAGAAUUUGCAUCUAAAUGAAGGCAACAAGGAGACCAUAGAAAGCUGUCUCUAUUCACAAGUUUCAUAUGGAGGUAUCAAAGUAAAG
rnacentral:lncRNA from 1 species